rnacentral:rRNA from 1 species
AUUGAACGCUGGCGGCAGGCCUAACACAUGCAAGUCGAGCGGCAGCGGGAAGUAGCUUGCUACUUUGCCGGCGAGCGGCGGACGGGUGAGUAAUGUCUGGGAAACUGCCUGAUGGAGGGGGAUAACUACUGGAAACGGUAGCUAAUACCGCAUAACGUCGCAGGACCAAAGAGGGGGACCUUCGGGCCUCUUGCCAUCAGAUGUGCCCAGAUGGGAUUAGCUAGUAGGUGGGGUAACGGCUCACCUAGGCGACGAUCCCUAGCUGGUCUGAGAGGAUGACCAGCCACACUGGAACUGAGACACGGUCCAGACUCCUACGGGAGGCAGCAGUGGGGAAUAUUGCACAAUGGGCGCAAGCCUGAUGCAGCCAUGCCGCGUGUAUGAAGAAGGCCUUCGGGUUGUAAAGUACUUUCAGCGGGGAGGAAGGUGUUGAGGUUAAUAACCUCAGCAAUUGACGUUACCCGCAGAAGAAGCACCGGCUAACUCCGUGCCAGCCGCCGCGGUAAAAC